rnacentral:lncRNA from 1 species
UCUGAUCUACAAUUAGGAUUAAAAGCCAGUGCUUUUGAAUAAUAGAAAAGUGCAUAAAAAUAUUUGAGUGAGAAAAAGUUGAACCUAAAUUCUAAUUCACAUAGUACUUAUUAGCUGAAUGACCUUGGUGAAAUUUAAUUUCCAUAAGCCUCCUUUUUCAUCUACAAAAUAGGAGUAAAAUUUGUGUAGGAGAGAAAAUAUUUAUUUUCCUUUUCCAUCACUAGGUUCAUGGCUGAGGCACCUAUAACAAAAGACAGGUUAACAAGAGAAAAGUGAUAUGAUUUGGAUUUGUGUCCCUUCCCAAGUCUCAUGUUGAAUUAUAAUCCCCAGUGUUGGAGGUAGGGCCUGGUGAGAGGUGAUUGGAUCAAGGGUGGUCCUUCAUGAAUGGUUUGGCCCAGUCUUGGUGCUGUUCUAAUGAUAGUGAAUGAGCAAGCUAUCACAAGAUUUGGUUGUUUAAAAGUGUUCAGUACCUGUCCCCUCACUUUCUCUUCCUCCUACUCCAGCCGUGUAAUGUUUCCUCAAUCUUCAUAGGAUCAUAGUUGAGACACCCUUCUAACACAAAAGACUGAUUAACAAGAGAAAAACAAGCAAGUUUAAUAAUAUGUGCCACCUCCAUCAUGUGGGAGACAAGUAAGUCUUUCCAGAAAGUACAAAAAAAAUUUUUUUUUUUUAGUAGAGACGGGUUUCACCAUGUUGGCUAGUCUGGUCUCGAACUCCUGACCUCAGGUGAUCCACCCAUCUAGGCCUCCCAAAGGGCUGGGAUUGCAGGUGUGAGCCAUGGCACCUGGCCUUUUUUUUUUUUUUAAUUACAUCUGAGAGCAGAGGCUUUAUUUACAAUGAUAUUCAAACAGGAUUUAGCAAAGGAUACCUCCUCCUGCUCGUAUCUUAGCAGCAUGGGUUGUACUUCAUAACAGAAAAGAGAAAUAUCCUGGGAGCAGGAAGUUCCAUGCCUUGCUUCUGCUUUGCCAUCUGUCAUGACUGAAAGCUCCCUGAGGCCUCCUCAGAAGCAGAUGCUACCACGCUUCCUGAACAGCCUACAGAACCAUGAGCCAGCUAAACCUCUUUUCUUCUAAGUUACCCAAUCUCAGACAGGUUCUGUCAAAGCUGCUGCUGCUGUUCAAGGGUGACAGAACAUGACCUCCACAGAGCACAGGAGAAUUCAAGACGAAUUGAAAUUUCAGUGAACGUUAAAAGUGGAAAGAUCGGAUUCCGUUGCAAGAUGGCCAAAUAGGAAGAGCUCUGGUCUGCAGCUCCCAGCAUGAUCGACUCAGAAGACAGGUGAUUUCUGCAUUUCCAACUGAGGUACCUGGUUCAUCUCACUGGGACUGGUUGGACAGUGGGUGCAGCCCAUAGAGGGUGAGCUGAAGAAGGGCGGGGCAUCGCCUCACCCGGGAAGCGCAAGGGGUCGGGGGAUUUCCCUUUCCUAGGCAAGGGAAGCCGUGAGAGAUGGCACCUGGAAAAAUGGACACUCCUGCCCAAAUACCGUGCUUUUCCAACUGUCUUAGCAAAUGGCACACAAGGAGAUUAUAUCCUGCACAUGGCUCAGCAGAUCCCAAGCCCACAGAGCCUUGCUUACUGCUAGCACAGCAGUCUGAGAUCAACCUGCGAGGCAGCAGCCUGGCAGGGGGAGGGGCAUUUGCCAUUACUGAGGCUUGAGUAGGUAAACAAAGCAGCCCCAGGGAAGCUCGAACUGGGUGGAGCCCACUGCAGCUCAUCAAGACCUGCUGGCUCUGUAGCCUCCAACUCUGCAGGCAGGGCAUAGCUGAACAAAAGGCAGCAGAAAUAUCUGCAAACUUAAACAUCCCUGACAGUUCUGAAGACAGCGGUGGUUCUCCCAGCAUGGUGUUUGAGCUUGGAGAACGGAUAGACUGCCUCCUCAACUGGGUCCCUGACCCCCAUGUAGCCUAACUGGGAGACACCUCCCAGUAGGGGCUGACUGACACCUCAUACAGGCAGGUGCCCCUCUGGGACAAAGCUUCCAGAGGAAGGAUCAGGCAGCAAUAUUUGCUGUUCUGCAAUAUUUUCUGUCCUGCAAUAUUUUCUGUUCUGC